AGCGAAUGGGAUUAAGAGCUUGCUCUUAUGAAGUUAGCGGCGGACGGGUGAGUAACACGUGGGUAACCUGCCCAUAAGACUGGGAUAACUCCGGGAAACCGGGGCUAAUACCGGAUAACAUUUUGAACCGCAUGGUUCGAAAUUGAAAGGCGGCUUCGGCUGUCACUUAUGGAUGGACCCGCGUCGCAUUAGCUAGUUGGUGAGGUAACGGCUCACCAAGGCAACGAUGCGUAGCCGACCUGAGAGGGUGAUCGGCCACACUGGGACUGAGACACGGCCCAGACUCCUACGGGAGGCAGCAGUAGGGAAUCUUCCGCAAUGGACGAAAGUCUGACGGAGCAACGCCGCGUGAGUGAUGAAGGCUUUCGGGUCGUAAAACUCUGUUGUUAGGGAAGAACAAGUGCUAGUUGAAUAAGCUGGCACCUUGACGGUACCUAACCAGAAAGCCACGGCUAACUACGUGCCAGCAGCCGCGGUAAUACGUAUGUGGCAAGCGUUAUCCGGAAUUAA
rnacentral:rRNA from 1 species